rnacentral:rRNA from 1 species
AGAACGAACGCUGGCGGCGUGGAUAAGACAUGCAAGUCGAACGGGAUUACUUUUGGUAGCAAUACCGAAAGUAAUUCAGUGGCGAACGGGUGCGUAACACGUGGGCAAUCUGCCGAAAAGUGGGGGAUAGCUCGCCGAAAGGCGAAUUAAUACCGCAUGUGGUGAGGGACGACAUCUUCCUGAAUCCAAAGCCGGGGCAACCUGGCGCUUUUUGAGGAGCCCGCGGCCUAUCAGCUUGUUGGUGAGGUAACGGCUCACCAAGGCUUUGACGGGUAGCUGGUCUGAGAGGACGACCAGUCACACUGGAACUGAGACACGGUCCAGACACCUACGGGUGGCAGCAGUCGAGAAUUUUCUCAAUGGGGGCAACCCUGAAGGAGCGACGCCGCGUGGAGGAUGAAGGCUUUCGGGUGUAAACUCCGUGUCAUUUGAGAACAAGUGCCAACAAGUAACUACUGUUGGCUUGAUAGUAUCAGAAGAGGAAGGACGGACUAACUCUGU